GAUUGACCUCGGAUCAGGUAGGGAUACCCGCUGAACUUAAGCAUAUCAAUAAGCGGAGGAAAAGAAACCAACAGGGAUUGCCUCAGUAACGGCGAGUGAAGCGGCACCAGCUCAAAUUUGAAAUCUGGCCCUCUCCGGGUCCGAGUUGUAAUUUGUAGAAGAUGUUUCGGGCGCGGCGCCGGUCUAAGUCCUUUGGAACAGGGCGUCACAGAGGGUGAGAAUCCCGUAUGUGACCGGCGACCAACCCCAUGUGAAACUCCUUCGACGAGUCGAGUUGUUUGGGAAUGCAGCUCAAAAUGGGUGGUAAAUUUCAUCUAAAGCUAAAUACCGGCCAGAGACCGAUAGCGCACAAGUAGAGUGAUCGAAAGAUGAAAAGCACUUUGGAAAGAGAGUUAAACAGUACGUGAAAUUGUUGAAAGGGAAGCGCUUGCGACCAGACCUGCCCGUGGAUGAUCAGCGGUGGCUCCCCACCGUGCACUCGUCCACGUUUAGGCCAGCAUCGGUUUCGGCGGCCGGACAAAGACCGUGGGAAUGUAGCUCCCCCCGGGGAGUAUUAUAGCCCUCGGUGCAAUACGGCCUGCCGGGAUCGAGGACCGCGCUUCGGCUAGGAUGCUGGCGUAAUGGUCGUAAGCGACCCGUCUUGAAACACGGACCAAGGAGUCUAACAUCUAUGCGAGUGUUUGGGUGUCAAACCCAGGCGCGUAAUGAAAGUGAACGGAGGUGGGAGCCCUUUAGGGUGCACCAUCGACCGAUCCAGAAGUUUACGGAUGGAUUUGAGUAUGAGCAUAGCUGUUGGGACCCGAAAGAUGGUGAACUAUGCCUGAAUAGGGUGAAGCCAGAGGAAACUCUGGUGGAGGCUCGCAGCGGUUCUGACGUGCAAAUCGAUCGUCAAAUUUGGGUAUAGGGUACGUUAUUCUUUUCUUUUGUGGUCGGAGUGAGGUUGCAAACUGAUUGAAGGGGUUGCUAACAGUUAUUAUAGGGCGAAAGACUAAUCGAACCAUCUAGUAGCUGGUUCCUGCCGAAGUUUCCCUCAGGAUAGCAGUAACGUUUUCAGUUUUAUGAGGUAAAGCGAAUGAUU
rnacentral:rRNA from 1 species